rnacentral:rRNA from 1 species
UAGUCCACACCGUAAACGAUGAAUACUAGGUGUCGGGGGUCGAACCUCGGUGCCGCAGCUAACGCAUUAAGUAUUCCGCCUGGGGAGUACGCACGCAAGUGUGAAACUCAAAGGAAUUGACGGGGACCCGCACAAGUAGCGGAGCAUGUGGUUUAAUUCGAAGCAACGCGAAGAACCUUACCAAAUCUUGACAUCCUUAUGACCGUCUUUUAAUCGAGAAAUUCCCUUCGGGGACAUAAGAGACAGGUGGUGCAUGGUUGUCGUCAGCUCGUGUCGUGAGAUGUUGGGUUAAGUCCCGCAACGAGCGCAACCCUUAUGUUUAGUUGCCAUCAGUUAGGCUGGGCACUCUAGACAGACUGCCGUGGAUAACACGGAGGAAGGUGGGGAUGACGUCAAAUCAUCAUGCCCCUUAUGAUUUGGGCUACACACGUGCUACAAUGGUCGGUACAACGGGCAGUGAAGGAGUGAUCUGGAGCGAAUCCUAAAAAGCCGAUCUCAGUUCGAUUGUAGG